rnacentral:rRNA from 1 species
AUAUCAAUAAGCGGAGGAAAAGAAACCAACAGGGAUUGCCCUAGUAACGGCGAGUGAAGCGGCAACAGCUCAAAUUUGAAAUCUGGCCCUUUCAGGGUCCGAGUUGUAAUUUGUAGAGGGUGCUUUGGCGUCGGCUGCGGUCUAAGUUCCUUGGAACAGGACGUCACAGAGGGUGAGAAUCCCGUACGUGGCUGCCAGUCUUCGCCGUGUAAAGCCCCUUCGACGAGUCGAGUUGUUUGGGAAUGCAGCUCUAAAUGGGAGGUAAAUUUCUUCUAAAGCUAAAUAUUGGCCAGAGACCGAUAGCGCACAAGUAGAGUGAUCGAAAGAUGAAAAGCACUUUGGAAAGAGAGUCAAAAAGCACGUGAAAUUGUUGAAAGGGAAGCGCUUGCAGCCAGACUUGCCUGUAGUUGCUCAUCGGGACCCCGUCCCGUGCACUCUUCUGCAGGCGGGCCAGCAUCAGUUCAGGCGGCCGGACAAAGACCUCUAUCACGUAUCUUCCUUCGGGAUGACCUUAUAGGGGAGGUGUAAUGCGGCCAGCUUGGAUUGAGGUCCGCGCAUCUGCUAGGAUGCUGGCGUAAUGGCUGUAAGCGGCCCGUCUUGAAACACGGACCAAGGAGUCUAACAUCUAUGCGAGUGUUUGGGUGUCAAGCCCGGGCGCGCAAUGAAAGUGAACGGAGGUGGGAACCCCUCGGGGCGCACCAUCGACCGAUCCUGAUGUCUUCGGAUGGAUUUGAGUAAGAGCAUAGCUGUUGGGACCCGAAAGAUGGUGAACUAUGCCUGAAUAGGGUGAAGCCAGAGGAAACUCUGGUGGAGGCUCGCAGCGGUUCUGACGUGCAAAUCGAUCGUCAAAUUUGGGCAUAGGGGCGAAAGACUAAUCGAACUAUCUAGUAGCUGGUCCU